rnacentral:rRNA from 1 species
UACGGAGGGUGCAAGCGUUAUCCGGAUUCACUGGGUUUAAAGCGCGCGUAGGUGGCCCCGUAAGUCCGCUGUGAAAGUCAAAGGCUCAACCUUUGAAAGCCGGUGGAUACUGUGGGACUAGAGUACGGAAGAGGCGAGUGGAAUUCCUGGUGUAGCGGUGGAAUGCGCAGAUAUCAGGAGGAACACCAAUAGCGAAGGCAGCUCGCUGGGACGUUACUGACACUGAGGCGCGAAAGCGUGGGGAGCGAACAGG